ACAAACUUGGUCAUUUAGAGGAAGUAAAAGUCGUAACAAGGUCUCCGUUGGUGAACCAGCGGAGGGAUCAUUACCGAGUUUACAACUCCCAAACCCUAUGUGAACCUACCACUCUCGUUGCCUCGGCGGAUCACCCUCCCGCUCCCAGCCCGGCGGCCCUCGCGGCGGCCGGGGGGGGAUCGGGGCCGGGGCCCGCCAGAGGACCCAAACCGAAACUCUUGUCACUUUGUAAGGAAACUUCUGAGUACAAACAAACAAAUACAUUAAAACUUUCAACAACGGAUCUCUUGGCUCUGGCAUCGAUGAAGAACGCAGC
rnacentral:misc_RNA from 1 species